UACGUAGGGGGGCAAGCGUUGUCCGGAAUCAUUGGGCGUAAAGCGCGUGUAGGCGGCUCGAUAAGUCCGCUCUGAAAGUCCAGGGCUCAACCCUGGAAUGCGGGUGGAUACUGUCGGGCUCGAGUCCGGAAGAGGCGAGUGGAAUUCCCGGUGUAGCGGUGAAAUGCGCAGAUAUCGGGAGGAACACCAAUGGCGAAGGCAGCUCGCUGGGACGUGACUGACGCUGAGACGCGAA
rnacentral:rRNA from 1 species